GUUCGGGGGGACAGGGUGACAGGUGGUGCAUGGUUGUCGUCAGCUCGUGUCGUGAGAUGUUGGGUUAAGUCCCGCAAACGAGCGCAACCCUCGACCUUAGUUGCCAGCAUUCAGUUGGGCACUCUAAGGUGACUGCCGGCUAAAAGUCGGAGGAAGGUGGGGAUGACGUCAAAUCAUCAUGCCCCUUUAUGACCUGGGCUACACACGUGCUACAAUGGGCGGUACAAAGGGUCGCGAACCCGCGAGGGGGAGCCAAUCCCAAAAAGCCGCUCUCAGUUCGGAUUGCAGGCUGCAACUCGCCUGCAUGAAGCCGGAAUCGCUAGUAAUCGCGGAUCAGCAUGCCCGCGGUCGAAUCGUCCGGCCUU
rnacentral:rRNA from 1 species